rfam:Kibdelosporangium phytohabitans strain KLBMP1111, complete genome.
GGGUUGCUAGCUCAAUUGGUCAGAGCUGCUGACUCUUAAUCAGUAGGUUCGGGGUUCGAGUCCCCGGCAGCCCA